UACGUAGGGACCAAGCGUUGUUCGGAUUUACUGGGCGUAAAGGGCGCGUAGGCGGCGCGGUAAGUCACUUGUGAAAUCUCUGAGCUUAACUCAGAACGGCCAAGUGAUACUGCAGUGCUAGAGUGUGGAAGGGGCAAUCGGAAUUCUCGGUGUAGCGGUGAAAUGCGUAGAUAUCGAGAGGAACACCUGCGGCGAAGGCGGGUAGCUGGGCCGACACUGACGCUGAUGCGCGAAAGCCAGGGGAGCGAACGGG
rnacentral:rRNA from 1 species